rfam:Camelus ferus unplaced genomic scaffold scaffold938, whole genome shotgun sequence.
GAGGGUAUAGCUCAGUGAUAGAGUGCAUGCUUGGUAUGCACAAGGUCUUGGGUCCAAUCCCCAGUACCUCCA